rnacentral:rRNA from 1 species
GACGAACGCUGGCGGCGUGCCUAACACAUGCAAGUCGAACGGAGUGUUUAUUUAUAAACACUUAGUGGCGAACGGGUGAGUAACGCGUAGACAACCUACCCUCUAGAUGGGGACAACACCGCGAAAGUGGUGCUAAUACCGAAUGUUGUAAUGUUGUUGCAUAAUGAUAUUACUAAAGGUGGCCUCUAUAUAAAAGCUACCGCUAGAAGAUGGGUCUGCGUCUGAUUAGCUAGUUGGUGAGAUAACAGCUCACCAAGGCAAUGAUCAGUAGCCGAUCUGAGAGGAUGAACGGCCACACUGGGACUGAGACACGGCCCAGACUCCUACGGGAGGCAGCAGUGGGGAAUCUUCCGCAAUGGACGAAAGUCUGACGGAGCGACGCCGCGUGAGUGAAGAAGGUUUUCGGAUCGUAAAGCUCUGUCUUCAAGGACGAAUGUAGAUAUUGUGAAUAAUGAUAUUUAAUGACGGUACUUGAGGAGGAAGCCACGGCUAACUACGUGCCAGCCGCCGCGGUAA